CUCUCUCUGUCCCUCUCUCUCUCUCUGUCCCUCUCUCUCCCUCUCUCUCUCUCUCUCUGUCCCUCUCUCUCUCUGUCCCUCUCUCUCUCUGUCCCUCUCUCUCUCUGUCUCUCCCUCCCUCUCUCUCUCUGUCCCUCUCUCUCUCUGUCUCUCCCUCCCUCUCUCUCUCUCCCUCUCUGUCUCUGUUUAACUCAACCCAGUGUAGUAGUAUGGUAUGUUCUUCGUCAUCACUACUACUGUCUUGCCAAACCAAGGAAGAAGAGGAAGGAAAGGGACGAUGUUGUUGUCGCUGGAAAAGCUGGACAACGUUUAUAUGCUUGAAAUCCAUUUUUUAUGUAUUGUAAUGUACAAUCCCCCUGAUAGGUGCCGAGCCGCCAGACGUAUUAUUCUCCUAUCUGAGAGACGCCCUGCGUAUUACCAUGGUUCUCCUAUCUGAGAGACGCCCUGCGUAUUACCAUGAUGAGGCUCUGUGGCUUUAAGACUUGACUGGGAGGAAUCACGUGUCUCAUUGUCAUUUACAUUGACGAUGACCCUGGAAAGCUUUAGUCUAUUAUAUAUAUAUAUAUAUCAGCACAGCACAAAGACCUGGGAGUUAGAGGGCUAACGGGG
ensembl:lncRNA